GUCCCAUCGAGAAGCCUCGGGUGAGGGGCCCGGUGGGCGCCCGGAGGCCGCUGGAGGGCUGUGGGAGGGACGGUGGCUCCCCACUCCCGUGGCGAAGGGCAGGCAAACCAGAAGCCUCUUUUGAGAGCCGUUUGGGAUUGAGACGACUUCCCAGAGACCGUGACAAAAGACAUCAUUCUACGCUGCACAAAAGCAGCCAGAGGCGGCCUCUCCCACGCUCCGGGAGCGAAGGGAAUGAUCUGGCUAGAGAGCAGCACUCCAGGGUGACUCCGUCCUGCUGUCUAACCGGCCUCCGGCAGAGUGGCAGAUCAUCUGACUCUCUGAACCACUCUGAACAUCAGUCUCUUCAUCUCUAAAUGAGGGUGCUGGCCGUGUGGAUCCGCAGGGGUAUCCUGAGGUUUGCCACGUACAAAAAGCUUAGGACAGUAAAUACUAAUAGGCUGGUGCAAAAUAAAUUGCGUUUUUGUCACUAAAAAAAAGUAGCAAAACCCGCAAUUAUUUUCCACCAACCUAAUAUUAAAUGUGAGUGACUGGGUCAACUUGAUGCAGCUUUCUGAUCCCUGCUCAACCUGCGACCAGCUUCUAGAAGGACAGGAGUGGCCUGUGGCCGUGGGUCUUAAGGGCAAGAGAACAACAGAGAGAUGUUUCUGGCCCCUCUUGUGUGAAAUGAAGACUUUUUAAUGUGAAUGUAGAAGUAAGUCUUGGGAGCAAAAACAAAAUCAGACCCUGGAGAAUGGCAGAAACUCCAAAGGAGUUGAAUGCUGGAGAACCCCAGGCGAAGUUAAAUCAACUCGACAGAAGAGCACAGACAUGUGAUGGGGCACCAGGUGGGGGUGACAGGACGGCACAAGCUGCCUUCUGGGGUGAUGGAAUGCUCUGUAGCUUGCUCAGGAUGUGGGGUACUCACAAACGAGCACUGGUCAGAACUCAUUGAAUGGUAGCACUUGAGAUCUGACCAGUUCAAUACAUGCUCACUAGACCUCACUCUAAAAAAGGAAAAGGAGAAAAAAAAAAAGAGUUAGAAACUAAGGGCUAGAGGAAAUAUGUGACAGACAAGGAAAGGCUUCUGUAAGCAGAAUGUGUCUUUUCCAUGGGGAAAUAUGAACGAUAUGUCUAUACACAUGUGCACAUAUGAACAUGAAUCUGUGAAUGUGCACACACAUGCAUACACAUGUACAUGCACACAUACGCACAAAUGCAUGUGUGUACACCCGCGUGGGAGCGUAUACACAUGUACAUGAGCACGUAUGCACAAAUGCAUGUGUGUACACCCACGUAGGAGCAUAUACAUAAGUACAUACACAUGUACACACAAAUGCAUGUGUGUGCACCCGCAUGAGAGUGUAUACAUAUGUACAUGCACAAAUGCAUGUGUGUACACCCGUGUGGGAGUAUAUACAGAUGUACAUGCACAAAUGCAUGUGUGUACACCCGCA
rnacentral:lncRNA from 1 species